ACAGUAUCUGUCUGCCCCCUAGUGUAAGAGUCCUCGCUGCCUAAAAUUCAACUUUAAAAGAAAAGGAGCUCUUAAAGGGAAACGACUUUGAGCUCACGUAGGCAUAGGAGAAUGAAACUUCUGUACAUUUUAAUCUGAAUAAUUCUUCAGGAUUUAAAAUUAAUUGGCUCUGGCUUGGUUGGACCGGACUGGGAUCUCGCCACCUCUGCGUUUCCCGAGUCACUGGCGGAGAGGUGAUGAUUUUUUUCCCCCCUGAACUGGGUUUAUGUGCGUCCCCCUCACCCCCUCCUCUCUUUUUCUUUCUCUGUCUCUGUCGUCUCUCUCGCUGGCUUUUUAAAAAUGAGGAACCGUUCCUUGAACGUUCUGGACAGAGCACAGAAUUGCUUCUUAAGUCAGCCCGACGCGGUUGCAAUAGACAGCAAAAAGGUAAACGUUUGCCUGAAAUCCGCACGCCAGCUCCACCACCCCGCCCGAUGGUGUCUGAGUGGAGAGAAAAGCAGAUAGAAAAGCCUUGUUGCUGUUUGCCCUAAGCUUCAGCAGAUGGGGAACCGAAUGUUGUCUUCCAGGGGUAACUGGUUUUAAAAAUGUUGCAGAAUUCAAGGCUCCAUAAUGGAAUCGAGAAGUCUUGAGUCUUUUCCUUUGAAGGAAGCUUGGCGAACACUGGUCCAACUUCUCACCGAUGCCAGAGGUCUGGAGAUAGGCAGACGGCCAGGCUGACAUGGAUUCAGCAAUUUGUAAGAGUUGUAAAUUUAAGCCCGAGACUGGAGACUCUCACGUGCUAUGCUCGGAGGAAGUCUAUAGUGCACACCUUCCUACGACUUCCAUAUGCCCCAGUGGAAAUAGAGCAGGAGUGGGGCUCUACAUAACCCUAAUGAUAUCAGAACGUUCUUUGUCUCACGCUUUGGGGAAUGUUCUUUCGUUAGCGGUUCAGACACUGAUACAGUUUCUUGAGAGCCUUGUCUACACCUGCAUAAGGUCUGUAAAGUGCCAUUUGUCUCACACAGUGUCCCAGGGCAAUGGACCCUGGUGUGCCCAGUGCCCAGCAUCUCCAUCAGAUACAGCUUUGAUGGCGUACCAUCUUCAUGGUGAAGCCUUGUCCACAGCCACGGACUUUCAGGCAGGGUUUGCUGCUCAGCUGAUGACCUUUCUCUGGCUCUCAGAGAAGACACAGAGAGGUCUGCUAGAGCCCAGGACGGCAGGCUUUGUUCCUGCCACAGAAAAGGUUGUGCAGAAGAAAUCUCUCAGUCCUGAUAGAGCCAGAGAUGUGAUUAUGAGCAUUUCCUGCUUGGAACUCCUCAGUUGCUUUCCACUGGACUUCAGGGUUAAUUUGCCUAGCUGAAGACUUCUACUGAAGAGAGUCCAGCUAACUACAUUCAAAUAUGAACUUCUCAAGGACCCAGAAAAAGAUCAGUUGGAAAUGGCAAAGGCUCGAGUGAAUAUGGUGGACUAGGAAGAUGGGUUCUGAUGGCCUGGGCUCUUCUUCUGACUUUACAGCCGUCUUGCUGGGUGAUGUUAGCCAAGUGAAUGUGGUGCUAAUAUAUCCGUCGAGAGAGGAUGGAACUGAGCCUCAACGCUCGUAUCCACCUGUUCCAGAUCACAUGGUCAGUAACCAGACAAACUGGGACGUAAGCCCAGUUCAAUCCGAUUCCAGAUCUUUGGCUUUUAGCUGCUCCACGGUACUAGCUGAAGACCUUGGCACCAGGAUUCCUUUCUAAGAGACAAGGUGAGUCUGCUAUCCUAUCUCUAAUUCUAUGAUGAUUUAAAUGGAGCUAUUAUUUAUUAUUAAAAUAUUAUCAGUCAGUAAAUACGAAAUUGUCUUAAACAAUCGGAAAAAGUAAUGUUACAUAAAUGUCACAAAUGUUUAGCAGGUGAGUGUUCAGUCUGUGUGUGGGAAGGCAGCGUGAUGCAGGGGAAAGAACAUGGGUGUGAGGUUGGCCUGGCCAGGACCUGGCCCCCCAUGGCCAGCUGUGUGAUCUUGGCCAGUCACUUACCCUCUCUGUGCCUCAGUUUCUUUAGCUAUAGGGUGAGGCUAAAAAUAGCCACCUUAAAGGAAUGCUGGAAACUCUGGAGAUCAUAAAUGACAAAUCUGUACAAUGCCCAGCAAGGACAGUACAACAUUGCUUCUCCUCAGUAAAAGGUAGGAAGUGAUACCAUUUUACUUUCCUGCAUACACACCACUGGUUGCAAUCAAGCUUUUGGGAUAGAACUCUAACUCCUUAACUCAGCCUAAAGGCUGUGCCCGAUUUGAUUCCUGCCAUGUAACCGGCCUUAUCUCUGGACAUUCUCCCUCUCACUGGGCUCAGAUGGGCCAAGCAUUACUCCUCCACCCCAGGACCUUUGAAUAUGCUCUGUCCUUGGCUGAGAAUACUCUUUCAUCUUUUUAUUAACUCACUACUCUUUCUCAUCCUUUAGGUCUUGGCUCAAAUAUCACUUCCCCAGGGAAAUCUUCCCUGAACCCUAGAAAAAUCAGGCCCCCUCUUACAUAUUCCCUGAGCUCCUUCUUAUUUGGGAUACUCCUCACAGUGGUAAUUAAGUACUUAAGCGAGUACUCGAUGAGGAUUCAUUGAAUGAAUGAAGAAAAGAAUAAAUGAAUUACUGAAUAAAGUAUUGCCUUAUUUCAAAGAUUCCCCUUGGUGUUUCCUGACCUGUUUUUAUUAGAAGAAGACCAUAGGACGUGAGCCAUGGAGACGUCUAGCAAAGGCACAGGCUUUUGCCCAAAGUGGUGUCCUUUUCACUCUUGAUGAGAACAAGACUUCUUCAGGGACCAUUUGUUACCUGUGGCACGGCAGGCAGCCUCGAGGACCAAAUAAGCUGCCUUGGGUCUGACCAGAGUGAUACCCUGGAUGAAAGAAACAUACCACUUCUCUGAAACAGAUGCUUUGGUUUAUGAUGGAAACGGAGGAGCCUGCAGGUGCGGGCUGGGCUGACACGGGCUCUGCGGAGAACCAUUAGAGCCUCCUCCGAGAUGCGGAUUGACUCUGUGUUUAAUCAGCCACAGGCAGAAGAAAUGGCUUCAUUUCAGCUCGAUGAGAGCCAGAUCACAAAAGGAAGAUAGAUGGCCAAUACGGUUCAUCACCACGAGCAUAUUGUCUCAAUUUGAAGGAACAGCCUGGCACCCAUUCUAAUCCAGGAGGAGAGUGCAAUAUGGCUAGCAUCAAGGGCCAGCUAGCUCAAGUCUCAGUGCGCCCCUUCAGGAAAAGCUCUCGUUUGUUUCUUAAUUAAUAUUUUAAGUCAAGGGAGAGCCACAAGACACAUUCCUCAAUCAUUUGAGAAAUUCUCCCGCUUGGAAUUCAAGACGCUUGAAGGAAGGACUCUUCUUCCCUGAAAUGUCUGAAUCUCUACCUCUACCAAAGUACCACGGCCUAUGAAGGAAGGGCCAUUUGCUGGCUGUUUGUAAUACACAGUCAUGUGUGCAGUUCAUCUGGAAAUAGACGCACGUGUCGUGAUGAGCCCUGGGUAUUAUACGGAACUAAUGAAUCAUUGAACGUUGCAUCAGAAACUGACAAUGUACUAUACAGUGGCUAACUAGACAUAAUAAAAAAAAAGAAAAGAAAAGAAAUAGAUGCAAAUAGAAAUAGUACCAUGUCUCUGCACGCGGAUACCUGCUGGUCACUUGUGGGCUCUUGUUUCCAGGGGCUCAGUCUUCUGCUUGCCUUUGGUGCUCCAGAGCUCCGCUGGGGAGGUGUGGAAAAUGGGUAUUCUGUUCAGAGGGAGUUAGCUCGUCGAUGGCCUGAAAAUGCCAGAGAAGGGAUGUUUAAGCUCUUGCAGGAGGAAUCACAUGUAUCUGAACUCCGCAUCCUUGCCAAACCCCUCUUAUUUGAAGUGAAAGCAGAUAAUGAACGGUUGGGGUACUUACAAACAAGUGGAUGUUUUAGAAUCAUUUGGUAUGUGUCACAUCCGUGUUUUCAUUCUCUCCUCUGAGCCCGAGUACAAAGAGCUUUUACAGCCCUCCCCACCCCAAUGACUAUUUUCCAGAUGUUCUGAAACAACAUCAAGUGACCCAGUUUACCCCUGAGAGGUUUAUAAAGGUGCAUUUAUGGAGAGCCCGGCUGAGCGAGGCUGAGAUGUUCGCUCGGCAGCUUAGUCCGAGAUAAUCUCCCGUGAACGUCGUAUCAAAUCUUCCUUUACCUAAGGCACACUGAGUGUGGUUUUUAGAAAAAGAUAUGCUAAGUACUCCCAAAGUGAAGAAGAAACUUAAGAAGCUUAACAAUGGAUGUAGAAAUAUUAUCAUCAGCUAUCGGGGUAAUAGUAUCCAGUCGUUCUUCACCUACAGGCAUGGAUUUGGGCUUCGGCAGAUGAAGACAGGACAGUAGAAAUGCGUGGGCUUAGUGCAUUUAAAUAUCAGCAAGACGAGGCGAUGGACCUUGUUAGCAUAAAACCUGAACACAUGUCAUUUGCUUUUUGUGCUGCAUGGGAUGAAAAAAAUAUCACGAUUGCAGCCAUGAAAGGAGGUGUGCUGGGGUUUUUUGCAGAUCGCUGAGACAAGAGAUGUCCUCAUUAAUGGACAAGAGAUCUUUUCAUUCUUUGCACAUGGGCAGCGCGCACCAGAGCAGUCCGUGGGACCAGAACCCAGCUCUUUGCCCACGUAGUGGAGAUGAGCCAUUUCCCGAGGGGAGACAAUAUGCUGUCUUAAAUUCAGUCCUACAGAAAGAACCUCCCAUUCCUUCCAAACACGGGCAUCCGGCGACAUGUCAAAAUCUGGCGAGAAGGUGGCAUCACUCUUCCCCAGCACAUCUGCUGUCUGUGGAUGACAUUCAGUGGGACCGGUCCCCCCCAACCCCCAAAGUAAGCGACAUGCCAAAGCCUUGAUGUGAAACAUACUUAAUGUUCUAUAGUGUGUCAGUUUCCCAGUGGCUGCGGUGCAAAGUGAACAACCUUCCUGGCAUGACUUCCAUGAUCAUUGGCACCGAACCCAGUGCAGUCAUCCCCUUGAGGUCCUUUACACAUGAAAGGGAAAGUGAGCACGUGUAAGAGGCUCCUAUUCUCUGCCUAUCUCAGAAGGCCUGCUCUUCCGCAGCCGUUCACACCACUGCCCUGCGACACGCCACCAGCUAACAGGUGACGGUCCCUUCGCUGAGUUCAGAAAAGCUGGGAAGUCUUGGCCCGCACAUAACAUGCUUGCCUGGCACAAACUGUGGUAAGGCAGCCGAAUUCCCACUUUCGUGCAGACAUGGAUGCCUUCUUGAGAUAAGAUAGACUACUCUUUGGUUUGGAAACCUGUGGCGUGGAACGUUAAAGACCGAUCCUUUUGAGUCACUUGGCAUGGCUGGCACUUUUUGACUUCUGCAACUGCUCUGCCCAUAGUCAGAAACACCGGUUCCCUUACCCUUAUCUUCACAUCCUUCAGCGUCCGUGUUCUUCCUGGUCAUCCAAUUAGCUGCUUCCUCUCAUUUCACAUCCUCUGACAGUUUGGGGUGGUUUGAGUUGAGUGGGGUGGACAAGGGGAAAUUGGCGAUUUCCUCUGCCUCUCGUAGAGUUAAUGUCUCAUCCAGAUCCUGCUAAAACAUCUCUCUCAACGGCAGUCUUUAUUCCUGGUUUAGCAGCAUCCCCGUAGAGAACAAGUUUCUUCUUUACAACGCUCCAGCUGAAAGUCCAAAUGAUAGAUGGUUUCCUGAUCCUGAAGAAGACACUUAAGCACUUAUAUUUCUUUCAACAAUUGAUUCCCGUUUGAACAAGACAGUUGAUUUCUCAUGUUAGCACGGGGCAAGCAGGGUAUGUGUGUGCAAACUAAAAUGUCUGGCACCCUAUUCAGGAGUUGGGCGAAAAUCAGGACCCAGAAAGAACGUUGCCAGCCAGAAAUACUACUUUCUUGUGUCCACUAUUCGAUAUCUGGGGGUUUCCCUCCCGUCUGCUUACAUUUCCUCUGUUCUUAAAAGUCCUGUCUGGGUCUGCGGAGAGAACAAAGUUUCUUACCAUGGAUCUUUGGAUGUGUUCUUCGUCUGUCUACCCCGGUAGGCCCAAUACAGGACACUUCUAGUUUUUAAUCUGCUUUCUUAUGCAUCAACCCCUCCCCUCCUGGACACCCCCACCUUGUGUGCCUGUAGUAAAACAUUGGUUUCGACUAACAUGUUUUGUUCCAUGUGCUACAUCUGAGCCACUAAAUGUUUCCACGAGGAAACAUUUGCAAGCAUCUUCAAAAAGGACGCCUCGUUCCUUACCCCAAAGAAAACACAGCAAAGUUAGCACAUGUGUUUCUAGAAUCCCUUUUCCUUCAUAAAAGUCAUCUCUAUUCUACCUUUCUGAUCAGCAGGGAGAGGUAUAUAUGCCCACAUUCUCUUCCCAAGGGUGAAACGGUGUAUACUUUGCCGUGUGUACUUGGCCCACAGAGGCUCGCAGGGACUCUCAUACAGUUGAGCCUAGUAGUGAUUUUUUUUUAAAAGAUUUUAUUGAUUUAUUUAUUUGACAGAGAUAGCGACAGCCAGC